CCUCACCUCAGAGACAGACAGGUAUCUGACAUCUAAGCAACUGAACUGGGAUUCAAACUGAAGUAGAAGCUGCAGCUGCAGAGAUGUAUACUAUCAUGUCCAUCAAAGAUGCCAAGAUCUACGUUCUCUUACUGGUGUUCAUCAGCGUCUUUGUUGAGAAAGGGCAGUCAGUCUUAUCAACAGAAAGUGUGAAAAAUAUUAUUGAAGACACAAUAUACAAAAGGUUCAAGCCUGAAGAGUUGAAAAGAAUGAUAGCAAUGAAAGCAGAAGGCACAAGCGGAAGACAGCCCAAGGGCGAACAGUUCACAAUGGCACUCACGCUUACAACAAAGGAAUGUGACAGUGGGGAGCUAGAGAAAAGACACAAUCUGGAACAGGUUAUGGGCGACAUGGUAAAUGGUGCUGUGGGCAACAAUGAUUGGGUCACUGCAGCUAUUCCUAAGUUCAACACCGGUUAUGACAGCCAUUCAGAAUAUCGCGUACUGGAGAAACUGCAAUCCAAUUUAAAAAAAGAUUCUAAUAUAGAGUGUUUGAUACUCUACACACACAACAGUCCUUGUACUGAUAAAUGCCUGAAAGACAACCAUUUUUUCAACAUUAUCAAACAACUGAAAGAUGUUUUCUCAAAAGUAAAAUCAACAUAUAGUGCAUUAGUCUUCGACCAUAUUUAUAUUGUAGACAUUAAAAAAAGUAGAGAGGACGUUUUUAAUUCCCUGAAAAACAUUCCUAUACCAACUUAUUGCUGCUACAAAGAUAUUGCUACAAAUACUGGAUAUUACUGUGCAUUGCUUGACACAAGCAAAGAUGACACAUUUCAAAUAUGUUUAGAUGAGAUAUCAAAGUAAUGACACCAAUGAUAAACCCCUGAGAAAAAUGAAUAAAGAGCACAAUAGAUUUUUUCUGUUGUUACAAAAACCACAACAUCUAUACAAAUGUUUGGCUGUCAUCACUCAUCACUGAAUUGGGAUGCUAAUGUUAGCAGUACAUGAAUGUUGGUUGUAAUUAUUUAGGCUGUUCUGUAUUCCCCCAUUCUCUCGUUUCAAUGUGCUUUCUGUCUUCUGAAUAUUGAUAAACAUUCUGAAACUGUAUAAUGUAGUGUUUCAUUUCAAACUAUUUCUGCCUGAUGCCAGCAGAAAGUUGUUAGUCUGUUGUUUAUUAUACUGUGUAAAUCUGUUUCCACUCGCUUAUGAUAUCAUUAGUGUGAUCUACAACUUUAUGACGUAUGAGUUAUUUGCUGUUAUUAAACCAUUCUCUCUUGGAUAUUA